rnacentral:rRNA from 1 species
AGAGUUUGAUCAUGGCUCAGGAUGAACGCUGGCGGCAUGCCUAAUACAUGCAAGUCGAACGAAGUCUUUUGAAAGCUUGCUUUUAAAAGACUUAGUGGCGAACGGGUGAGUAACACGUAGGGAACCUGCCCAUGUACCCGGGAUAACAGAUGGAAACGUCUGCUAAAACCGGAUAGGUAUAGACAAGGCAUCUUGACUAUAUUAAAGGACCUUCGGGUGCGGACAUGGAUGGACCUGCGGCGUAUUAGCCAGUUGGCGGGGUAACGGCCCACCAAAGCGAUGAUACGUAGCCGGCCUGAGAGGGUAGACGGCCACAUUGGGACUGAGACACGGCCCAAACUCCUACGGGAGGCAGCAGUAGGGAAUUUUCGUCAAUGGGGGAAACCCUGAACGAGCAAUGCCGCGUGAGUGAAGAAAGCCUUCGGGUCAUAAAGCUCUGUUGUAAGAGAAAAACGGUAAUGAUAGGAAAUGAUCA